rnacentral:rRNA from 1 species
GACAGAGGGUGCAAACGUUGUUCGGAAUUACUGGGCGUAAAGCGCGUGUAGGCUGCUUGGAAAGUCGGAUGUGAAAGCCCUGGGCUCAACCUAGGAAGUGCAUUCGAAACUUCCAAGCUGGAGUGCUGGAGAGGAAGGCGGAAUUCUCGGUGUAGAGGUGAAAUUCGUAGAUAUCGAGAGGAACACCGGUGGCGAAGGCGGCCUUCUGGGCCUUUCCUGACGCUGAGGCGCGAAAGCGUGGGGAGCGAACAGG